GACGAACGCUGGCGGCGUGCUUAACACAUGCAAGUCGAACGAAGUGGCGCACGGGUGAGUAACGCGUAAUCAACCUGCCCUUCAGAGGGGGACAACAGUUGGAAACGACUGCUAAUACCGCAUACUGAAGGAGGGGAUUGCGUUUGAUUAGCUCGUUGGGGGGGUAACGGCCCACCACGGCGAUGAUCAGUAGCCGGGCCGAGAGGAUGAACGGCAACAUUGGGACUGGGAAACGGCCCAGAAUCCUACGGGAGGCAGCAGGGGGGAAUCUUCCGCAAUGGACGAAAGUCUGACGGAGCAACGCCGGGGGAGUGAUGACGGCCUUCGGGUUGUAAAGCUCUGUUAAUCGGGACGCGGUACCGGAAGAGAAAGCAACGGCUAACUACGUGCCAGCAGCCGCGGUAAUAC
rnacentral:rRNA from 1 species